GACGAACGCUGGCGGCGUGCUUAACACAUGCAAGUCGAACGGAAAGGCCCCCACCUUGGUGGGGGUGCUCGAGUGGCGAACGGGUGAGUAACACGUGGGUGAUCUGCCCUGUACUUCGGGAUAAGCUUGGGAAACUGGGUCUAAUACCGGAUAGGACCAUGGUUUAGUGUCUCAUGGUGGAAAAAUUAUUGUUUUGGUGCAGGAUGAGCUCGCGGCCUAUCAGCUUGUUGGUGGGGUAAUGGCCUACCAAGGCGUCGACGGGUAGCCGGCCUGAGAGGGUGGACGGCCACAUUGGGACUGAGAUACGGCCCAGACUCCUACGGGAGGCAGCAGUGGGGAAUAUUGCACAAUGGGCGCAAGCCUGAUGCAGCGACGCCGCGUGGGGGAUGACGGCCUUCGGGUUGUAAACUCCAUUCGUUAGGGACGAAGCCACACCUUUUUUGGGUGUGGUGACGGUACCUUUGUUAAGAAGCACCGGCUAACUACGUG
rnacentral:rRNA from 1 species